GAGGAGCAGGGUCUGGACAGGACGUGGAGUUAGCCUCGUCAAGUAGUUUGUGAAGGUGUUAACUAUGAAAGCGACAGCUAAACAUAAGGUGGUGACAUCAGGGAGGCUGACAGGGGGAGGCAGAGUGCAGCUGACCAGAAAACAAGUGAGUCCACAUCCUGGACCAGCAGCCGGCCCUGAACCAGCCUACUCUCUAUACUCCACAGACUCUGAAGACCAGGUACUGAAGUGAGCAGCAGCAGACAGUACAGAA